GGUGCCUUAGCUCAGUAGGUAGAGCAAAGGACUGAAAAUCCUUGUGUCGCUGGUUCGAUCCCAGCAGGCACCA
rnacentral:tRNA from 3 species